rnacentral:misc_RNA from 1 species
UCUCCGUUGGUGAACCAGCGGAGGGAUCAUUACCGAGUUUACAACUCCCAAACCCAAUGUGAACCAUACCAAACUGUUGCCUCGGCGGGGUCACGCCCCGGGUGCGUCGCAGCCCGGGAACCAGGCGCCCGCCGGAGGGACCAACCAAACUCUUUCUGUAGUCCCCUCGCGGACGUUAUUUUUACAGCUCUGAGCAAAAAUUCAAAAUGAAUCAAAACUUUCAACAACGGAUCUCUUGGUUCUG